CGCGCCGCUGGCCACCGCCGCCAUCAGCCCUCGCGCGUGGCCCCGCGCCACACGAGAUCCGCCCGCAAGAGCCACUGGAAAAGGCCCCACCACCGCCGUCCGCCGGGCGGGCUUUGCCCGCCGGCUUCCUCCGACGAUGGCGAGGGGAGACGAGGACCCGGGGGGAAGGGGACGGCGGCGGCUAGGGUUUCGCCCGAGCCGCCCCCGAGAGCGACGCGGGCGCAGGGGCGCAGGAGCUAUCUACGCAGAGCUCAUGUGAAG
rnacentral:lncRNA from 1 species